GAUGAACGCUGGCGGCGUGCCUAAUACAUGCAAGUCGAGCGAACGGACGAGAAGCUUGCUUCUCUGAUGUUAUCGGCGGACGGGUGAGUAACACGUGGAUAACCUACCUAUAAGACUGGGAUAACUUCGGGAAACCGGCGCUAAUACCGGAUAAUAUUUUGAACCGCAUGGUUCAAAAGUGAAAGACGGUCUUGCUGUCACUUAUAGAUGGAUCCGCGCUGCAUUAGCUAGUUGGUAAGGUAACGGCUUACCAAGGCAACGAUGCGUAGCCGACCUGAGAGGGUGAUCGGCCACACUGGAACUGAGACACGGUCCAGACGCCUACGGGAGGCAGCAGUAGGGAAUCUUCCGCAAUGGGCGAAAGCCUGACGGAGCAACGCCGCGUGAGUUAUGAAGGUCUUCGGAUCGUAAAACUCUGUUAUUAGGGAAGAACAUAUGUGUAAGGAACUGUGCACAUCUUGACGGUACCUAAUCAGAAAGCCACGGCUAACUACGUG
rnacentral:rRNA from 1 species